UACGGAGGGUGCAAGCGUUAUCCGGAUUCACUGGGUUUAAAGGGUGCGUAGGCGGCCUGUUAAGUCAGAGGUGAAAGACGGUAGCUCAACUAUCGCAGUGCCUUUGAUACUGACGGGCUUGAAUGAACUAGAGGUAGGCGGAAUGAGACAAGUAGCGGUGAAAUGCAUAGAUAUGUCUCAGAACACCGAUUGCGAAGGCAGCUUACUAUGGUUUUAUUGACGCUGAGGCACGAAAGCGUGGGGAUCAAACAGG
rnacentral:rRNA from 1 species